CCCCUUUCUUUUACCUGGCCACCAACCUGCCGUCGUUCCUCUUCUCCUACCCUUCCAAGCCCUCAUCCGUUCAUGCCCAUUGACAAGAACAACCAGAAUAAGCAAUAAUGGUUCAGCGCAGCGCUAUGGUUUCUUCUCGGCAUGCAACGAAAGCCUCAUGGGAAGGACACGGGGAGCUUUGGCAAGCACCGGAACAAGACCCAAAAGAGCCGCUACGAUGAUUGUGGCUACCCAUCCGCACGCAUCUGCAAAAAAAACUAGGGCCGUGAACGAGAUUAGGAAGAAGACGAUGGGGACUGGGAGUAUGAGGUAUCUCCGCCAUGUUCGGGUUUAAGAGCAACUUUCGUGAAG